rfam:Bartonella taylorii 8TBB genomic scaffold supercont1.1, whole genome shotgun sequence.
GGUGUUCUGCGCUUCUCGACAGGAAAUAACGCAUUCCUGAGACCUUAGUGAUCUCCAAGGGAGCUGUCCCUGAUAAGGCCCGUGGGCUUUUUCAUAUGGCGCCCACCUAUUUAUGUAGGUUCUUGGGAUCAACUUUUUCCAUCGGCUGUUGUGGAUCACCU